rnacentral:rRNA from 1 species
AGUGAACGCUGGCGGCGUGCCUAAUACAUGCAAGUCGAACGGAGUGGCGCACGGGGGAGUAAUGUAUAGCUAAUCUGCCCUACACUAGAGGACAACAGUUGGAAACGACUGCUAAUACUCUAUAGUGUAGGAUGAGGCUAUAUUGUAUCAGCUAGUUGGUGAGGUAAUGGCUCACGAAGGCGAUGACGAAUAACUGGUCUGAGAGGAUGAUCAGUAACACUGGAACUGAGACACAGGCCAGAAUCCUCAGGGAGGCAGCAGUAGGGAAAAUUGCUCAAUGGGGGAAAACAUGAAGCAGCAACGCGGCGUGGAGAAUGACACUUUUCGGAGCGUAAACUCCUUUUGGUAGGGAAGCGGUACCUAACGAAUAAGCACCGGCUAACUCCGUGCCAGCCGCCGCGGUAAUAC